UCAUUCUUUAUUAUUUCUGACAAAUGCUUCUUACCUGGCAACAAUUAUGACAAUUUCAAAUCAAUAUUCUUUACAGGCUUAUGCCCCUCCUCACUGCUGCCUCCCCACCCCUUUUUCUUUCUCCUCCUCCUUUGUCUUUGUCUCCAAUUCCUGGCUUAGAUCACAGGUCAAUCUGCAGAUUCAUCAAGGAUCCCAGGGAAGAGGUACCUUCAUUGUUCAGACUAAAUUAAGAAGUUGAUACUGAUCCAUUCUGCUUCAUUCUGCCUCAGGUUCCCACCUUGUGAUCCAACAAUCUUGCCUUAAAUAAAAUUAUGUUUACCC
ensembl:lincRNA